AUGGAGGCCUGAGUUCAGCACUGGUGUAGCUGCUCAGGAGCCAUCCACCUUGGUUUUUUUUGACUUAUGGUUUCAAACUGGAACCUAGGCUUGUAAAUAGAGGAGGCUGUGUCAGCCAUCCCUUCACAAUUUCUACAAGGCAAGAGAGCAACAAAGACUCUGGAACAUUCAAGAGUUUGCCUCUGGGCUCUUAGUUCUCUUGCCUGCCUGCCAAAGCACAGUGUCAGCACAUUAGGGAUAGAUAGAUAGAUAGAUAGAUAGAUAGAUAGAUAGAUAGAUAGAUAGAUAGAAGAGAAUGCCUUAUUCCAAUAUACUUCAUUGUAGUGGAUAGCCAUUCCAGCUUUGACCUGGAAGUUCCAACCCCCAUUGAGGCUUCAGUAAUGGUCACGCCUACAAGGCAGGCCUGAGAGAGGACGCUGAAGACCCAAGAUCCAGAUGCGUGGGCUGUCUUGGUUCCUGGACCCUGGAUAUUGGAGGUAGACCAAGCAGAGUUCUCCAGAGAACACUGCUGGACUGUACUACACUUUUCCCAGGCCCUGUGAACUAUCCCUUCACUUGUCUCUGCAAAAUGCUGACAAACAAGGCUACAAAAUGUGAAGACAUAUAAUACACAUAUGCACGUAGCAUAUUAAUUUACCUACAUUGAUGUAUCAUCUUUAUUACUGACAGUGGUGCAAAGUUCAUAAAAAAUAAUCAAGCUAAAUAAAUACGAAGACCACAGCAUUGAUCAGUGAUUUUUAACUGGAGAUUUACAUCCUCAUAAUUCUUUACUGCAUUUAAGUUUUUUUUUUUGUUAGGCUAU